rnacentral:rRNA from 1 species
CCUACGGGCGGCAGCAGUGAGGAAUAUUGGUCAAUGGACGGAAGUCUGAACCAGCCAUGCCGCGUGAAGGAUGACGGCUCUAUGAGUUGUAAACUGCUUUUAUACAAGGGUAAACCUCAAUACGUGUAUUCAGCUGAAAGUACCUUACGAAUAAGGAUCGGCUAACUCCGUGCCAGCAGCCGCGGUAAUACGGAGGAUCCAAGCGUUAUCCGGAUUUAUUGGGUUUAAAGGGUGCGUAGGCGGAUUGAUAAGUUAGAGGUGAAAUGUCCGGGCUUAACUCGGGAACUGCCUCUAAUACUGUUGAGCUAGAGAAUGGAUGCGGUAGGCGGAAUGUAUGGUGUAGCGGUGAAAUGCUUAGAGAUCACACAGAACACCGAUUGCGAAGGCAGCUUACCAAUCUAUAUCUGACGUUGAGGCACGAAAGCGUGGGGAGCAAACAGGAUUAGAUACCCCUGUAGUC